CCAUAAAAACCGUGGCUCAGUUCAGAUCGUAGGCUGCAACUCGCCUACGUGAAGGAGGAAUCGCUAGUAAUCGCAGGUCAGCAUACUGCGGUGAAUACGUUCCCGGGCCUUGUACACACCGCCCGUCACACCAUGGAAGUUGGCCACGCCCGAAGUCGUUACUCCAACCCUCUGGGAGGAGGACGCCGAAGGUGGGGCUGAUGACUGGGGUGAAGUCGUAACAAGGUAGCCGUACCGGAAGGUGCGGCUGGAUCACCUCCUAA
rnacentral:rRNA from 1 species